GGGCCCGCACAAGCAGCGGAGCAUGUGGUUUAAUUCGAAGCAACGCGAAGAACCUUACCAAGGCUUGACAUCCUCUGAACGCUAUAGAGAUAUAGUUUCCCUUCGGGGCAGAGUGACAGGUGGUGCAUGGUUGUCGUCAGCUCGUGCCGUGAGGUGUUGGGUUAAGUCCCGCAACGAGCGCAACCCCUAUGUUUAGUUGCCAGCACGUAAUGGUGGGAACUCUAAACAGACCGCCGAGGACAACUCGGAGGAAGGUGGGGACGACGUCAAAUCAUCAUGCCCCUUAUGUCUUGGGCUACACACGUGCUACAAUGGCCGGUACAAAGAGCUGCGAAACCGCAAGGUGGAGCGAAUCUCAUAAAGCCGGCCCCAGUUCGGAUCGUGGGCUGCAACCCGCCCACGUGAAGUCGGAGUUGCUAGUAAUCGCGAAUCAGCAUGUCGCGGUGAAUGCGUUCCCGGGCCUU
rnacentral:rRNA from 1 species